rnacentral:rRNA from 1 species
AACAGCUCAAAUUUGAAAUCUGGCCCCUUGGGGGUCCGAGUUGUAAUUUGUAAAGGGUGUUUCGGGCGCGAUGCCGGUCUAAGUUCCUUGGAACAGGACGUCGUAGAGGGUGAGAAUCCCGUAUGCGACCGGCGAUCAAGCCUGUGUGAAGCCCCUUUCGACGAGUCGAGUUGUUUGGGAAUGCAGCUCAAAAUGGGUGGUAAAUUUCAUCUAAAGCUAAAUAUUGGCCAGAGACCGAUAGCGGACAAGUAGAGUGAUCGAAAGAUGAAAAGCACUUUGGAAAGAGAGUCAAACAGUACGUGAAAUUGUUGAAAGGGAAGCGCUUGCAAUCAGACCGGUCCGGAGGCGAUCAGCCGCUGCUCGUCAGCGGUGCACUCGCCUGCGAUCCGGCCAGCAUCGGUUCGGGCGGCGGAAUAAAAGUCCCGGGAAUGUAGCUUCUUUCGGGGAGUCUUAUAGCCCGGGUCGCAAUGCCGCCCGCCCGGACCGAGGACCGCGCUUCGGCUAGGAUGCUGGCGUAAUGGUUGCAAGCGACCCGUCUUGAAACACGGACCAAGGAGUCUAACAUCUAUGCGAGUGUUUGGGUGUCAAACCCAGGCGCGGAAUGAAAGUGAACGGAGGUGGGAACCCGUCAGACGGCGCACCAUCGACCGAUCCAGAUGUCUUCGGAUGGAUUUGAGUAUGAGCAUAGCUGUUGGGACCCGAAAGAUGGUGAACUAUGCCCGGAUAGGGUGAAGCCAGAGGAAACUCUGGUGGAGGCUCGCAGCGGUUCUGACGUGCAAAUCGAUCGUCAAAUCUAGGCAUAGGGGCGAAAGACCAAUCGAACCAUCUAG